AUUGAACGCUGGCGGCAGGCCUAACACAUGCAAGUCGAACGAGUGGCGGACGGGUGAGUAAUGUCUGGGAAACUGCCUGUUGGAGGGGGAUAACUACUGGAAACGGUAGCUAAUACCGCAUACCAUCGGUUGCGCCUAGGUGGGAUUAGCGAGUAGGUGGGGUAACGGCUCACCUAGGCGACGACCCCUAGCUGGUCUGAGAGGAUGACCGGCCACACUGGAACUGAGACACGGUCCAGACUCCUACGGAGGGCAGCAGUGGGGAAUAUUGGACAAUGGGGGCAAGCCUGAUGCAGCCAUGCCGCGUGUAUGAAGAAGGCCUUCGGGUUGUAAAGUACUUUCAGCGGGGAGGCGUUACCCGCAGAAGAAGCACCGGCUAACUCCGUGCCAGCAGCCGCGGUAAUAC
rnacentral:rRNA from 1 species